rnacentral:rRNA from 1 species
UGAGGAAUAUUGGUCAAUGGUCGAGAGACUGAACCAGCCAAGUCGCGUGAAGGAUGACUGCCCUAUGGGUUGUAAACUUCUUUUACAAGGGAAUAAAAUGAGAUACGUGUAUUUUAUUGCAUGUACCUUGUGCAUAAGCAUCGGCUAACUCCGUGCCAGCAGCCGCGGUAAUACGGAGGAUGCGAGCGUUAUCCGGAUUUAAUGGGUUUAAAGGGUGCGUAGGUGGGCUGUUAAGUCAGCGGUGAAAGUUUGUCGCUUAACGAUAAAAUUGCCGUUGAAACUGGUAGUCUUGAGUAUAGAUGAAGUAGGCGGAAUGCGUGGUGUAGCGGUGAAAUGCAUAGAGAUCACGCAGAACUCCGAUUGCGAAGGCAGCUUACUAAGGUAUAACUGACACUGAAGCACGAAAGCGUGGGUAUCAAACAGG